GGCAGCAUGAUUUGUAGCAAUACAGAUUGAUGGCGACCGGCGCACGGGUGAGUAACGCGUAUGCAACUUACCUAUCAGAGGGGGAUAGCCCGGCGAAAGUCGGAUUAAUACCCCAUAAAACAGGGGUCCCGCAUGGGAAUAUUUGUUAAAGAUUCAUCGCUGAUAGAUAGGCAUGCGUUCCAUUAGGCAGUUGGCGGGGUAACGGCCCACCAAACCGACGAUGGAUAGGGGUUCUGAGAGGAAGGUCCCCCACAUUGGUACUGAGACACGGACCAAACUCCUACGGGAGGCAGCAGUGAGGAAUAUUGGUCAAUGGCCGAGAGGCUGAACCAGCCAAGUCGCGUGAAGGAAGAAGGAUCUAUGGUUUGUAAACUUCUUUUAUAGGGGAAUAAUGUGGAGGACGUGUCCUUUUUUGUAUGUACCCUAUGAAUAAGCAUCGGCUAACUCCGUGCCAGCAGCCGCGGUAAUACGGAGGAUGCGAGCGUUAUCCGGAUUUAUUGGGUUUAAAGGGUGCGUAGGUGGUGAUUUAAGUCAGCGGUGAAAGUUUGUGGCUCAACCAUAAAAUUGCCGUUGAAACUGGGUUACUUGAGUGUGUUUGAGGUAGGCGGAAUGCGUGGUGUAGCGGUGAAAUGCAUAGAUAUCACGCAGAACUCCGAUUGCGAAGGCAGCUUACUAAACCAUAACUGACACUGAAGCACGAAAGCGUGGGGAUCAAACAGGAUU
rnacentral:rRNA from 1 species